GAAAACGCUGCAGUACAGACAUUUCGGUAUAAAGUUCCAGUACUGCGUAAAGUGCUCCUCUGGACACGGCGUGCACACGGUGUCUCGAGUUGGUGUGCAGUGCGCGCUCAUGUGCGUCCCAGGUGGACAGCGAGUGCACGUGGAGAAGCUGCAGGAUGUAGCUUUGUGAAGGACAGGAGCGGACCACAGCUCGUACGUCUUCCUCGCUCACCUUUUCUCCAGAGACGGAGCAGGUGCAGUGUCUGAUGAUGAGGACUGCAGCUUUUCUUCAGCCUCUCAACGUUCUUCCAGUCCACCUUGCGUCCUGGAAGACUCUCGGAAAGACGUUCCACGGAGAUGGAGGCCAGCGGAGGAGACGCCACAAACUGAAAUAUUGCUUCCUCGCAUAACGUAAUGUCUGGAAAAAGAUGCAAGAGAGGUGCACUUACGCAAAUGGUAGCAAAAUAAACACAUCCCAAACAAAUCACAUGGUUUAGCACAGGCCAAACUCAAAGAAAAACAUGCAGUAUUUGGCAGCUGCAUUAAGCCCUUAUGUUGUCACUUUCAAUUCGUGUUUUUACAUGUACGUUUGAAGCGUUUUUGCCCUUGCAUAUCUUAAAAAAAUUCACUCCACCCUAAAUGUAGAUAUUCAGGAUUAAAGAACUUGUCACGUAUCUGGUUUUAAGAUGUAGGGUAAAAUGUAUAAGGUUAUUAGAUUAAAGGGCAUGUAAUGUAACCUAAUGCAAAUUAUUUCAUUUUUUUCUUUGAUUAUCCACAUUUACACCUACAGACUCAACACUUGUUGACAGCAAUUCACACUGUAAAACUGUCAUUAAUUCCUUUGACAUGAUUUAAUCUAAGGAAACAGGAAAUACAAGAAACGUUAUUCUUGUGAGUCAAUGAACAGAGAUUCGGCAGAGUGCCUCCAAGCAUUUCCUGGAAGUCUGAACGUAAGACUCACGUAUCGUAUUUUGUACUUCAUUUCCUUUUCUAUCAAUAGAAGCUGUUAAAAAGAAAAGAAAGAAAAAACUUUUUUCUGAAUAAUAGCCAAAAGAAUUUCAGAAUCAUUUUGACUCAGCUUCUCCAAAGAAACUUUGUGAGUCACAUAAAAUAAACUCUGGUUACAAAUUGCACAUGGAGUCACAAGAAUAAAAUGUUUUGAAUAAACACAUUUUUUUGUCACAUCA